AAUAGUUUUAUGCCACAUCAGUAUUCUUAUCCUGAAUUUCAGGAUUUUAUCUUGAAAAAAAUCAAAUCCAAAUUAAAAUACUAAAAUUCAGGAUAAGAAUACUGAUGUGGCAUAAAACUAUU
rnacentral:pre_miRNA from 1 species